rnacentral:lncRNA from 1 species
UUUUUUUUUUAAAUUGGGCAGGCUCUGAAGCCAGACCAGCCUCAGAGAGACUCCCUCUGUGAUUUUUCCACAGCACUCCUCAGCCAAAAGAAAUAGCCAAGAGAGCUGUGUAUUAAGUAGUGAAUAGUGUAAGUUCACGUGGCAGCUGAAAGAUGGUGCUAUGACUAUUAGUUACAAAGUUAAAAUAUCCCACAGUGCCCCCUGAGUCUGCUGGCACUACAGGGCAUUGGGAACUGCAGGUCUAAGCAGGAACUUACGUGCGUGAGCCAGGCUAAGCGCCCAGAGCCUCAGGUAGGAGGCGGUGUUGGAGAUGCAUCCCAGACAGUACUCGAUGGAAUGGAUUACUUGGGUCAUUAAUAUUUCUCCAAAAUUAAACUGAGAGAGAUCACACAACAUAUGUUAAGAGUCAUGAUGUUACAUGUGUACUUCUACAUGCCAAGUGGGUUCCACUUCAAGGAUUACAAUGAAAGAGCUGCCGGCUGGAUGCUGGUAAGAACACGCUAGAGUGUGAGGAACAGAAACCCCAGACGCACUCUGUUCACCACUCUG